AGUUUUCUCAUCUGAAGGGUAUAGUAUUAAUUGAAAAGGGAAAUCGCUCUAUGUUUUGUUGGAUGCAGCAAUUCUUAGACGUGAAGGGAAAACUAAGAAAGCUAAAUCCCAUUUUCAUUUCCAUAUGGAGGCUGCAGGUCGGAGGAAAGGAGACUUGUGAAUCUGCUCGGCCUGGCUGUUCCAAUUGCUGUUGAUCAAACCCAGUGAUGACACAACAUGAUGACAAUUUUAUUGUUCAGCUUGAGCGUGGCUGGCCAAUUGCAUAGCCUUUCUACAAUAUGCUACACUUACAGCUACAGCAAAGGACAUUCCAGUGGUGAUCAUGUCUUCAGAGAAUGUGCUUGCCAGGAUCAACAGCGAUUAUGCCGCAACCCUUACUCAAGUUGAGAAGUGGACAACACAACAGAGGUUUGAGAAAGAACAUUGGCAUGAUGUUCAAGGAUGCAAUCACACCUGCAAAGCAUGUUUGCGGUGAUACUAACAUAUCAUCUGGUGCUGUUUCUAUUAGUUCAGCUAUAGUUGAAUUGGUUCUGAUACACCAAUUUGAGAAGUAAAAACGGAAGAACUCCACCAAUACAAAUACACCAAUUUAUUUCCUAACUUUACAGGUUACAUUUUGAAAAUUAAUAUACUGCAUCAAUGAUGGGUCACACGGCGCGCCGUUGGCAUGCUAUUUUUCUAGUCAUAUUUAAAUUUCUAGCUGCUGGUUAAAGAAAAAACUCAUGAUGUUGGCCCAUUUGACCGAACCAUAUGCCUAUAUAUUUUUCCGUUCUUACUUUGGUAUGAAUUGGCCAACCAUUGUAUAUCUUCAAUCUUUCCAAGAACCAUUUUUCAGGUAUGUGCGACUAAUGAAUAAUUAAAAUUUGUACAAGUUUCUUCAUAGCCUUUGUUUGCCUUAUCUGGUAAACUCUUGCAAUAGUUAAUGUUUUUGUUUUCCCAAAUCUGCAUUAGUAAGAUACUAAUUUUGUAUGAUGCCCUUUCAGGUGCAACACAGGAUUGAUUGCAUAGAAUGCUUGUUUCUUGAAGGUGAGGUUGCUUAUUCCUUUUCCCAAAUGUUAGAAAAAAAUUGGGAUUGGUGAAUCAACUAGAUUCUAGAAUAAAUGAUUCACCUUUUAGCUUUACAAUUGCUAAGGCUUUAAAUCUAACCUUCACCAAAUAUGUGCCAUUUGCUUCUUUAGUUAUUUUUAGAUGAGGGGAUAAACUGCAUAGAGGUUUAGGAUAACUCUUUGGAGGGCUACCAGCAGAAUGCGACAGCAGCUCACACAAUUGUAUGACCAUGUACAGCUA